rnacentral:rRNA from 1 species
UAGUAAUGGCAGGUCAGCAUACUGCCGUGAAUACGUUCCCGGGCCUUGUACACACCGCCCGUCACACCAUGAGAGUUGGGAAUACCCGAAGCCUGUGAGCUAACUGUAAAGAGGCAGCAGUCGAAGGUAGAAUCAAUGAUUGGGGUGAAGUCGUAACAAGGUAUC